rnacentral:lncRNA from 1 species
UAUGAACUUGUCAAGCUUGUGAGAUUCCAGCAUUUGCCUCACUAGUACAAGAAUUCACAUUGUCAUGAAGCACUAUGAAGUCAGAUUUGUUCGGAAUCCAGUGGGAUUACAUCUGUUUAAAAAAAGGCAAAAGCUGUUUAGUGUUAUAAUUGUAUUUAAUCUAAAAGGUUUGAAUCAGUUACAUGUGGGAGAGAGAACAGAAAGGAAGGAAAAAAAGAAUAGGCCAUUAAGAGCUGGGACAAAGAUCAUCACAAUCACAUCACAGCUCAUGAAGUUGGGUCCCAAAGAACAAGUUUGUCCACGGUCACAAACCUAGGAAAUGGCUGAGUAAUUGAUCGAAAUCUUCAGAAAAUUGAAAGACCUUGUGUUUUUCAAUCAAAGUCUUGAAGCCUCCCUGGCCAACAAAGAACAUUAAACACAG